rnacentral:rRNA from 1 species
UACGUAGGGUGCAAGCGUUAAUCGGAAUUACUGGGCGUAAAGCGUGCGCAGGCGGCUAUGCAAGACAGAUGUGAAAUCCCCGGGCUCAACCUGGGAACUGCAUCUGUGACUGCAUCGCUGGAGUACGGUAGGAGGGGAUGGAAUCCGCGUGUAGCAGUGAAAUGCGUAGAUAUGCGGAGGAACACCGAUGGCGAAGGCAAUCCCCUGGGCCUGCACUGACGCUCAUGCACGAAAGCGUGGGAGCAAACAGG